rnacentral:lncRNA from 1 species
CAUCAGACACGAAGGAGAGGCCAACAGAUGAGGGAAGCCAUUUUUCUGCAAUGGAAUUAAAUGGCCAAGUGGGUUUUUCCUUUGUUGCAAAUGGGGAAUGUUUUUCCUUUGACUCUACCAUCCAGUUCAGGACGUCUCAGUGUGUUUAACAUUUGUCAACAGGCCCAAGGACUCACAGUUGGAAGACUGGAGAAGACUUUUUAAAAAGAUCUGGAUUUUUCCUUAUGACUUGGAAUCCAUCUUUGUCUUGUAUAACUAGGUCAUAGCACACCAUUCAUGUCAGCAGUUAACAGUUUUGAAUUCCAAAAAAACCUAAAGCAGUAAACAGUCCUCAGCGAAGCCGCCUUUUUGCCUACCCAACCCUGGAAAGUUUGCAGAAGUGGAAGGAGCAGAACGUGAGGGUGUAACUUACAAAAAGGUUCUGGGCCGGAGAAGGGGCGACGUUCGGGCACCCCCCGAAUGGACAAUCUUUCCUUCUGUCAACGGCAGGGGCAGGCCUAGUUUGACUCUGACAGUCCUCCCACUAAGGAAUUCCUGGUGACUGGAAGGGGGAGUGACUCAGGCCCUCAACCUCUAGCAGAGUGCCUUGGCUCCCUCCUGUCGUCCUGGGGAACCUCGGCCCCAGCCCUGCCUCCCCAGCCAGUCACAGCUCCUCCCUGGUCACCCUGAGGGAGCUCAGGGCCCGGCUGGUAGCUGGGUUGCUCUGCUUCUGUCCCCCACUCCUGUGGAGCCUGGCAGGCAACUCCAUGAUCUGACCCCGGUUACCUUGACAGCCCUGCCUGGCCUCCCCUCUCAUGGCCCAGCCACCCCAGAACCUGAAGAGGUUUUCUAGCUGCCGUGCAUUUGCCAGGCUGGGUUACCCACCCUACUUUCCCUGCCUGCCCUCCAGUGCUGCCAGGCCUAGUGUGCCAGCCAGCGCUCAGCCUUCAGUAAAGGGUUCCCCUGCUUCCAACCUCCAUUGCACUGCUUCCCCUAAGACUGUGACCUCCUGGAAGGCUGGAGCACAACUGCCUCUCAAUAAACGUGUUGCAAAAAAGGAA